rnacentral:lncRNA from 1 species
UUUAGAUAAUUAAACUUGUUCUGACUUGAGCAGCUAGUCAAUUCUGCCAUCUUAGCAUCAAGAACCAUGCACAAUGCUAUACCAAAAGUCCCCCAUAUCCACCCACCCCCAUUCCCCUACCCACCCAGUCCCCCUUUUUGGCCCUGGCGUUCCCCUGUACUGGGGCAUAUAAAGUUUGCAAGUCCAAUAGGCCUCUCUUUCAAGUGAUGGCCUAUUAGGCCAUCUUUUGAUACAUAUGCAGCUAGAGACAAGAGCUCCGGGGUACUGGUUAGUUCAUAUUGUUGUUCCACCUAUAGGGUUGCAGUUCCCUUUAGUCCCUUGGGUGCUUUCUCUAGCUCCUCCAUUGGGGAAAUGUAAAUGAGCUAAAUACCUAAUAAAAAAAAUGAAAAAAAAAAAAAAAAAAAGAACCAUGCACAAAUCAAGAAGAAUGCAAAAAAAUUACAGUAAAAAUCCAAAACAACAAAAAACAACCAACCAACAAAACCAAACCAAACCAAAACAAACCAAAACAAACCAAACCAAACCAAACCAAAACAAAACAAAACAAAAAACAAAAGGAAAAAAACUCCUUUCAUAGAACAGGCCAGCUUCAGCCCUCUGUGUGCUCAUACCAAAAACACCUAGCUUCAACCCUCCAGGCGAUGAGUCAGAGAAUCUCAAGACCCGGCUUUAGCCCUCCAAGCUUUUCCUCAAAACACUAAGACAAACCUGGAAGCAGCAGAAACCAGAUUUUAAGACAAAGUCUUCUAUACAGAAGGACUCCAUGCGCAUACAUUCUAGACAUAAGAAAGGAAGUUUAGAAAGGUGUACUAGACCAUGUACAGCAUCGUCUGCAAGGACUACCUCAUACAUAAUAAUAUGCUCCAAGUGUUUUCUGAUCACAGCCCUGUAAGCAACUCUGAAAUAGAGCUUAAAAUUAAGUAAAAACUAACUUUGGCUUAUUAUCAAUAAGAAGUAUGGACUGAUGGCUGCUCUUAAUGGGAGAGUUGUAUACAUAAAGCAAUUAGCUGAAUAUUUAUGAUGUUAUACUAUUAAGCUUAGCAUAUAAUUAGCAAUGAUACUUGAUACUGUGGUGUCUUCUUUCCUUCUUGGAUUCGUUUUGAUUUGCUUGUUUAUAAUCAUCCAUGAGUUGACCUGGAUCUACCACUAUUUCACAUUUACUGCACAGCAUCACAAAAUCUUACAUUGCAAAUUAAAACCAAAAGCAUGUUAUUCUGAGCUUUUGUGUCCGCCGGCAAGAAAGACGCAACAAACCGGAAUCUUCUGCGGCAAAAGCUUUAUUGCUUACAUCUUCAGGAGCAAGCGAGCAAAUGGCAAAACCCCGUCCCUUUUAAGGAGAAUUAUCCUCCGCCUAGGACGAGUCGCUCCCUGAUUGGCUGCAGCCCAUUGGCCGAGUUGUCGUCACGGGGAAGGCAGAGCACAUGUAGUGGAGAACUACCCUUGGCACACGCGCAGAUUAUUUGUUUACCAUUUAGAACACAGGGUGUCAGCGCCAUCUUGUAAUGGCGAAUGUGAGUGCGGCUCCCCACAGCAUGUCAAUGUCAAGAUGAUGUACAGGAUUGUCAGUAAUGAUAUAGGGGUCCUGUGUAAAAACAAGAAAGAAGUUUGUGGAAUAUUAUACCAUGAAGAUAUCUGAGCUCUGGAGUUGGACUUUUUUGUCUUAUAUAUAAGGUCUACCAGUCAUCAAUAAUAUGAUUUUUGUGCUUUUGGUUUUUUGUGGGCUUCUUUUGUGGGUUUUUUGAGACAGGGUUUCUCUAUGUAGCUCUGACAGUCCUGGAAAUGACUAUGUAGACCAGGUUGGCCUCAAACUCAGAAAUCCACCUGCAUCUGCCUCCCAAGUGCUGGGAUUAAAGGCAUCCACCACCACCGCUAGGCUUUUUUUUUUUUCCAAUAAUAUAAUUUUUAACAGGUUUUAACCUGUCUUGGCUUUGGUUUACUCUUGGUACAAUGAAGGUGACAUUAACAUCCUCUUAAUUUUAGGUGAUUGAAUAAGGCAAGGCAUAACAUAUUGUCAACUGAUAUCAAAUUUUAAUUUAGCUAAGGAAUAUACUCCAAAGUAAGGUGCUAGUUUGAAGAGACAUUUUCAAAAUAUAAUCAUAAUAUUCAGCUAUAAUCCAGAAACUUAGGUCACAGAAUAGGCUCUAGUCAAUAAACCCAGGUCACAGAAUAUAGACAUAUGCUUUGUCAAGGACUGAAGCUUAAUUCCAUGGUAGAGCUUGCCUAGCAUAGAAACUUCCCUCAAAAUAGGCCACUAACUGUAAUAUACUUAUUUUAUUUAUAUAUUUAUUUACUUUAGUAUUAAGUAAUGAAUUCAGUUUCUUGCAGUUAGCAGUAAAAGAGAGUUAUUUUAUAUUACUCUCCUCCCACGGGGUUAAAAAGAAAACAAAAGCAGAAUACAAAAUUCCCAAAGGUUACUCUGUAUAUGGAGACUACCAAGGAAUCAUUUGUGAUCCUAGAAUUUAAAAAACAUAAUGGUGUAAUGUCUAAGCUAAAACUAAGAAUCCUGUAAGCAACAAGAUUGAAAACAUGAUCCAUUGCAGCAAAGAGAAAGACUGGUUUGGCUAUGUUAAUGGUGUCACUGGAAACUCCAAGGAUAAUGAAUUUCUGUGUAUUUCCUUCAGACUACUUUAGAUGCUCAUGGAAUUGAAAUGUUCAGCAAAAUGGUCACACCCAUCAUAAGGAGGACAAUAAGAACAGAGAAGAGACCUCAAUGCCCCCCCCCCCAAAAAAAGCCAAGGACUAAACAUUUAAGGACUGGUGAAAAGUGCUAUUCAUGGUGGCAAUGUGAGCCAUAUCUGCCAAUAUUCCAUGGAAAGAAUAGAUGGGAUCUAGCUUUGAACAUCAAAGAAAAUUAAACUUAUGCUAUCUUGUAGAUUUAGCAAAGCUAUGUUCUUAUAUCUCUUUUACCUCUUCAUUUAUUGUAGUCCAAUACCAGUGACAAAGAUGAAUGAGAAAAAGGAAAUUCAACCCGAAGUUAAAUCCAUAGUUUUGAUAUAUUGAUAACAUGAGAUUCUAAAAUUACUGAAUUUAAACAGUUUUAUAUUUAAAAUUGCCAUAGGUUUUCUUGGCAUCUAAAAACGGGCAGAAAUUUAAUUGUCCUUGGUGAAAUUAAUAUUGAAGAUCAGAAAAACUAGCCAUUGUAGAAAAAAUAAAGAGAUAAUAAAGGAAGGGAAAGUUUGAUUUGCAAUUAUGUUGCUUUGCUUCAUGAUUACACUUACUAAUAUACUCAGUCAGUGUUUCCUAUAUUUGCUAUGCUGAUAUCUAUAUUAACUCUGUUAUAUACAUGAACAGAAUAAGCUGAAAAUUCAGCCUAUGUGCUUCAUUAUAAUAAAUAUUGUAGUAAAUAUCUCUCUUGGGAAAAAUACCAUUCUGGGACCUGAGAGUAAAGUGGAUUUUAUAUACGCUAAUAAUAUUAGGUUUCUGAGAAAUGAGAAAAACAUUUAAACAAGAAUGACAGGCAAUAUAAUGACCCUCCCCAAGACAAUUGCAUGCAAAUUCACCAAACUAUUAAGUAUAUUAUUUUACAUGACAGUGGAAAUUAAUGACCUAUGAGGAGGUGCAGAGAGUUUCCCGCACUUGGGGUGAUUCUAAUAAAAUCACAAAGGCUCAU